GAUGAACGCUGGCGGCGUGCUUAACACAUGCAAGUCGAACGGAGUUUUAAAGUGGAAGUUUUCGGAUGGAAACUUUAAAACUUAGUGGCGGACGGGUGAGUAACGCGUGGGUAACCUGCCUCACACAGGGGGAUAACACUUAGAAAUAGGUGCUAAUACCGCAUAAGCGCACGAUACCGCAUGGUAUAGUGUGAAAAACUCCGGUGGUGUGAGAUGGACCCGCGUCUGAUUAGCUAGUUGGUGAGGUAACGGCCCACCAAGGCGACGAUCAGUAGCCGGCCUGAGAGGGUGAACGGCCACAUUGGGACUGAGACACGGCCCAAACUCCUACGGGAGCAGCAGUGGGGAAUAGUUGCACAAUGGGGGAAACCCUGAUGCAGCGACGCCGCGUGAGUGAAGAGUAUUUCGGAUGUAAAGCUCUAUCAGCAGGG
rnacentral:rRNA from 1 species